GGAGAGGUGGCAGAGUGGUCGAUCGCGCCGCACUCGAAAUGCGGUGAACCGAAAGGUUCCGGGGGUUCGAAUCCCCCCUCUCCG
rnacentral:tRNA from 1 species